rnacentral:rRNA from 1 species
AUGUCCUCGCCGGCGCCGCACCUCGUCGACGAGAUCCUGGAGGAGAUCUUCCUCCGCCUGCCCACCCCGGCCGCGCUCGCCCGCGCCUCCACCGCCUGCCCCCGUUUCCGCCGCAUCGUCACCGGCCGCUCCUUUCUCCGCCACUAUCGCAAACGCCAUCCGCCGCCGCUCCUCGGAUUCGUCGACGAGAGCGGAUUCCACCCCGCCCAGGAACCCCACCCCUCCGCCCCGCUCGCCCGUGCCCUCGCCGACGCUGCCGAUUUCACCUACUCCUUCGUCCCCAAGCCCAGCAUGGGGCGCUGGAGACCGCGGGACGCCCGUGAUGGCCGCGUCGUUCUCCAGGCCGAUAGCUUUUGUUGGAACAGCAACCUCGCGGUAUGUGAUCCACUAUCACGGCGUCACCUGCUGCUUCCGCCCAUACCGGAUGAGCUGGCUGCUGUCGGGGGAAAGCGCCCUGUUGAAAUCGUGCCCAUCCUAGCUCCCAUUGGCGAGGAGGACGAUGAUGAGACCUCGUUCAAGGUAAUAUGCUUUGCAGACUAUCAAACCAACCUGGUGACGGUGCCGUGGCUUGUCAUGUUUCGACUACGUGCGCGGAUGCUUCUACUCGGCGUCACCUUGGAUGGACAAGUUACUGGUGCUGGACAUUCGAAGAAUGGAAUUUUCUACAGUCAACGAUCGCACUGGCUACCAUAUGCAUCUCAGAUGUCUGCCUGGCCAGGCAGACAAAGUUCUUGCCAGAAAUGCCCAAAUGGCUCGUUUGAUCUCUAUCAUACUACUCAGCAAAAUAACUCUGAAUCUCCCAAGGAAUGGCAGCUGGAGAACAUUAUACAGUUGCCUGGCCAGUAUGAUUAUUUCACCUCGGGCGCGGCUGAGGGAUUCUUAUUCCUUGGAGCCACUACAGAAGAUCAGCUGGACAUUGAUGAAGACUCGCCGGUGUGGUUGUCGAGGACUGAUUGGGAUGUAGACUAUUUUUCUCUGGAUGUCAAGACUUCUGAGCUUGUAAAGGAAGCCAACAGUGAUCAUGCAUGUGUUCAACAAUUGCCUACAUGUUCUGCCAUCAGAUUCUGA